rnacentral:misc_RNA from 1 species
ACUUCUCAAUCACUAUAGUCUUUGUGACUAUGGUGAAUUGGAUGUGGGGGUUUUAUGUGGGAUUUUAUUCCACUCCCCUGAAAUGUAUUAGCUGGAAUGCCUUUGCAAACCAACUUUCGGUAUGAUAAUUAUCUAUGCUGAAGUGUAUGCAAUAGGGGAUCUGCUUUCUAACCGUCUACUUACGUGGACAACUUGAAUCA